CCCCAGAGGCCUCACUCCUCAUACACAACAUGAUCCAACCACUAGGAGGCGCCCUCCUGGCUCAGCUUCAUUCUUCGCCCUCACAGAGUCCGCCAUGGAAUCAGCCUUCUGUCAUGUGAUGUUCUGCGGGACUGUGCCGAUAUGUACUACAAGUCCCAGCAUUCUCCAGCGCUGUGACUUCCCGCUCACCUGUGCCCCUCCACCAAUCAUUGAGCCCAGACACCGUCACAUGACCUCCUGACCUGUUGAUCACGGAGCACAGCUGGUGGAGGUUUUGUUGUAAAUUCUGUCACAUUCCCCUCUGGGCUCCCGGACGGUGUUUGUAUCUUCUUGGCGGAGUCAUCAGUUUGAGGCUACGUUGAUGUGACGCCCAAAUGCACCAUAGAGGCAGGAAACACCGCUGUAUAGGGCCUGACGGGAAGAGGGGGUCUGUCUGCGUAUUAGGGACAGGAGUUCCUGAUCCCUGGUAAAGCACUGCUGUCGACUGCGCCUGAUUGACUACAGCGGGGACCAGGAGCCAACAGGGAACAAGGGAGAGGCGGAUUCUGUGGAGUCACGUCUUGGCGGGGAGAAGUCCUCAUGACAGUCUGGGCUGGACAGAGAAGAAAAGGAAAAGUCAACAAUAUGUAAAGAGCCGAUGACAAGCGUCUUCCAUUCUUGCGGGGCUUGUCUGGUGGAGUCCGCGGCUGGCCCGUCUGUAUAUAUCACACCCUCCGUGUCUGUAACUGUAUCUCUGUACACCUGGACGUUACGACAGACAGACAAUGGCGCGCUAAUCCGGUCCGCUCCUAAUCAUCCAGCAGAUUACCUGCCUCGCCGCCGGGACACAAAUCCUCCCAUCUCACCGCCUACCACAUUCACAAAGAUCAAAAACAAUUUACAAGAAGGGAACGGGCGCAGGUCUAUUUAGGUGCUGUAUGUGUACAAUGCAACAAUGUAUCUGGGGACGGAACAGGAACAGAGCUGAAUGAUCAAUAUAAAGAUACAAUGUAUCCGGGGACAGAGAAGGAACAGAGCUGAAUAAUCAUUAUAAAGACACAAUGUAUCCAGGGGCGGAGAAGGAACAGAGCUGAAUGAUCAAUAUAAAGAUACAAUGUAUCGAGGGAACAAGAAGAAACAGAGCUGAAUGAUCAAUAUAAAGAUACAAUGUAUCCAGGGGCGGAGAAGGAACAGAGCUGAAUGAUCAAUAUAAAGACACAAUGUAUCUGGGGACAGAGAAGGAACAGAGCUGAAUGAUCAAUAUAAAGAUACAAUGUAUCCAGGGACAGAGAAGGAACAGAGCUGAAUGAUCAUUAUAAAGACACAAUGUAUCCAGGGCCGGAGAAGGAACAGAGCUGAAUGAUCAAUAUAAAGAUACAAUGUAUCCGGGGACAGAGAAGGAACAGAGCUGAAUGAUCAUUAUAAAGACACAAUGUAUCCAGGGAACAAGAAGGAACAGAGCUGAAUGAUCAAUAUAACGAUACAAUGUAUCCAGGGGCAGAGAAGGAACAGAGCUGAAUGAUCAAUAUAAAGAUACAAUGUAUCCAGGGACAGAGAAGGAACAGAGCUGAAUGUUCAAUAUAAAGACACAAUGUAUCCAGGGACAGAGAAGGAACAGAGCUGAAUGAUCAAUAUAAAGAUACAAUGUAUCCGGGAACAGAGAAGGAACAGAGCUGAAUGAUCAAUAUAAAGAUACAAUGUAUCCAGGGACAGAAGGAACAGAGCUGAAUGAUCAAUCCAACGACACAAUGUUUCUGGGGACAAAGAAGGAACAGAGCUGAAUGAUUAGUCUAAAGAGACAAUGUUUCUGGGGACGGAGAAGGAAAAAGCUGAAUAAUCAGUCCAACGACACACUGUAUCCGGGGACGGAGAAGGAACAGCGCUGAAUGAUCAGUCCGACUACACAAUGUAUCCGGGACGGAGAAGGAACAGAGUUAAAUGAUCCAUCCGGGGACACAAUGUAUCUGGGGACGGAGAAGGAACAGAGCUGAAUGAUCAGUCCGACUACACAAUGUAUCCGGGACGGAGAAGGAACAGAGUUAAAUGAUCCAUCCGGGGACACAAUGUAUCUGGGGACGGAGAAGGAACAGCGCUGAAUGAUCAGUCCGACUACACAAUGUAUCCGGGACGGAGAAGGAACAGAGUUAAAUGAUCCAUCCGGGGACACAAUGUAUCUGGGGACGGAGAAGGAACAGAGCUGAAUGAUCAAUCCGACGACACAAUGUGAUCCCCAAAGAUCAAACUCCUUCCGACACCUUCCUGUACGGCCACAUAGAAGGAAUAAACAGAUUAUAUGAGGGAACAUAUAUUUGGGAAAUCUCUUUAGUAACGUUUCCACAGUUUCCUUCAUUAGCAGUCGUGUUUGGAACCUCCUCAUGUAACCCUGCUGCCGAGUUAUACUGCCCUAUGGUUAGUACAAAAAAGGAAAAGAGUAGAGU